rnacentral:lncRNA from 1 species
UCUCCUAGCCUGAAAAAAAAAAAGGAGCAAGGAUGAGCAAAUUGCGAAUCAAGGCAAUGCUCAUUGUGUUUUUUGACAGGAAAGGUGUGGUUCACAGUGAAUUCGUGCCACAGGGACUAACAGCUAACAAGCAGUUUUACAGUAAAGUGCU